AUGAGGGACUGGCUUAAGCCAAAGACAGCAGGUGCGAAACAGCUUAAAUACCCUGCCGAGGUCAAAGCGAGAAAACAGCAGCCAAAAAGACUAAAGAGAGAUAUUUUCUGUCUUGGUCGUGCCUGAACUGGAUUCUCUCCACUCAACCCCGGCGCUACAAGGGGUUAUUUUUGUGCCUGU
rfam:Microcystis aeruginosa NIES-843 DNA, complete genome.